UCUAAGCACAAGCCGAAUACGGUGAAACCGCGAAUGGCUCAUUACAACAGCCACUGUUUACUUGAUCUUGAUUAUCCUACUUGGAUAACUGUGGUAAUUCUAGAGCUAAUACAUGCAACCAAGCUCCGACCGUAAGGGACGAGCGCAUUUAUUAGAACAAAACCAAUCGGGCUUCGGCCUGAGGUUUGGUGAAUCUGAAUAACUGAGCUGAUCGCAUGGUCUUUGUACCGGCGACGCAUCUUUCAAGUGUCUGCCUUAUCAACUUUCGAUGGUAGUUUAUGUGCCUACCAUGGUUGUAACGGGUAACGGAGAAUAAGGGUUCGACUCCGGAGAGGGAGCCUGAGAAACGGCUACCACAUCCAAGGAAGGCAGCAGGCGCGCAAAUUACCCACUCUCGGCACGAGGAGGUAGUGACGAAAAAUAACGAGGCGGUUCUCUAAGAGGCCCGCUAUCGGAAUGGGUACAAUUUAAA
rnacentral:rRNA from 1 species